rnacentral:rRNA from 1 species
CUACGGAGGGAGCAAGCGUUAUUCGGAAUCACUGGGCGUAAAGGACGCGUAGGCGGGUUUGUAAGUCAGGUGUGAAAUCCUACAGCUCAACUGUAGAACUGCACUUGAAACUACAGACCUAGAGUAUGGAAGGGGCAGAUGGAAUUAGUGGUGUAGGGGUAAAAUCCGUAGAUAUCACUAGGAAUACCGAAAGCGAAGGCGAUCUGCUGGGACAUUACUGACGCUGAGGCGUGAAAGCGUGGGGAGCAAACAGUAUUAGAAACCCUAGUAGUCC